rnacentral:miRNA from 1 species
AACCUCUUCAACUGGAAGGUAUCCCUUCCAGCCAAAGAGGUUCUGUAGAUUCCUUCCAGUUGAAGGGGUUACAGAGCCUCUUUGACUGGAAGGGAUUCCUUCCGGUUGAAGAGGUU